rfam:Dipodomys ordii contig_26805, whole genome shotgun sequence.
GGUGGCUCUGUGGUAGAGCACUUGCCUUGCAUGCAUGAGGCCCUGGGUUCAAUUCCUCAGCACCA